rnacentral:rRNA from 1 species
AAGACGGCCCUAUGGGUUGUAAACUGCUUUUAUACCGGAAUAAACCCCUUUACGUGUAGAGGGCUGAAUGUACGGUAGGAAUAAGGAUCGGCUAACUCCGUGC